rnacentral:tRNA from 1 species
GCGCCUGUAGCUCAACUGGAAAGAGCGCCGGACUACGAAUCCGUAGGUUGCCCGUUCGAAUCGGGCCAGGCGCG